UACGUAGGGACCAAGCGUUGUUCGGAUUUACUGGGCGUAAAGGGCGCGUAGGCGGCUUGACAAGUCACUUGUGAAAUCUCCGGGCUUAACUCGGAACGGCCAAGUGAAACUGUCAUGCUAGAGCGCAGAAGGGGCAAUCGGAAUUCUUGGUGUAGCGGUGAAAUGCGUAGAUAUCAGGAGGAACACCGGUGGUGUAGACGGCUCACUGGACCGUAACUGACGCUGAGGAGCGAAAAGCGUGGGGGAGCGAACAGG
rnacentral:rRNA from 1 species